GGUGACAGGUGCUGCAUGGCUGUCGUCAGCUCGUGUCGUGAGAUGUUGGGUUAAGUCCCGCAACGAGCGCAACCCUUUGUCUUUAAUUGCCAUCAGUUUAGUUGGGCACUUUAAAGAGACUGCCGGUGUUAAGCCGGAGGAAGUGGGAUGACGUCAAGUCCUCAUGGCCUUUAUGCCCAGGGCUACACACGUGCUACAAUGGGCGGUACAAAGAGAAGCAACCUCGCGAGGGUGAGCAAAUCUCAAAAAGCCGUUCUCAGUUCGGAUCGCAGUCUGCAACUCGACUGCGUGAAGUCGGAAUCGCUAGUAAUCGUGGAUCAGCAUGUCACGGUGAAUACGUUCCCGGGUCUU
rnacentral:rRNA from 1 species